CAGUUGAAAUGAAGCCAUCUGAAGUAUUUGCAUCAGCCCAUAGAAUGGACCAACACAUCCCAGCUGGUGAUACCUUGUCUGCUCAAUCUGCUGACUUCACUGAGGACAAAGCAAAUGGUCCAUCACAUAGCGAGUUUGCCUUAGCCUUCACCAGCAAACCCAAGAUCCCUCGCACUCCUGACGGGCAGGGCACCAGCCCUAGAAAGGGAAAGGUCCCAGCCAUUGCCCCCCAGUUCUCUCAGUCUGAACCCCGACAAACAAGCCAUCCAAGCUCCUCAGGAUCAUCCACAAGGAGCAGACAGAGUUCAUCCUUGAAACAGGAGCUGGUGGGAUGCCCUGUAGUAUGCAGGGUACAAUGCCCUGCCCCAGGAGCUGUAUUUAUGCCAGGCAUCAGAAGCCCCAGACCU
rnacentral:lncRNA from 1 species